rnacentral:rRNA from 1 species
CGAACGCUGGCGGCGUGCUUCACACAUGCAAGUCGCACGGAAAGGCCCUGCUUUUGUGGGGUGCUCGAGUGGCGAACGGGUGAGUAACACGUGAGUAACCUGCCCUUGACUUUGGGAUAACUUCAGGAAACUGGGGCUAAUACCGGAUAGGAGCUCCUGCUGCAUGGUGGGGGUUGGAAAGUUUCGGCGGUUGGGGAUGGACUCGCGGCUUAUCAGCUUGUUGGUGGGGUAGUGGCUUACCAAGGCUUUGACGGGUAGCCGGCCUGAGAGGGUGACCGGCCACAUUGGGACUGAGAUACGGCCCAGACUCCUACGGGAGGCAGCAGUGGGGAAUAUUGCACAAUGGGCGGAAGCCUGAUGCAGCAACGCCGCGUGCGGGAUGACGGCCUUCGGGUUGUAAACCGCUUUCGCCUGUGACGAAGCGUGAGUGACGGUAAUGGGUAAAGAAGCACCGGCUAACUACGUG